UGUUAGCUCUUUUUUCCUCUCAAACAUUCUACACACAGAGAAAUGCUCUGUCGUGUCGGAAAUUGCUUCCGACGGUAGGGCUCCACCAAUAUAAGAAAAACUGCCAUUAAAAUAAUUGUCUCGUUAUCCCUUGUCCUCUUAAAACUCCCUCAGAUUUUCAAAUAGAAGCAACGAGUGUACGAACCUUAAAUAUCAAAUCAUAAAUUAAAUAAAGGAGGAGGGGGAAUCUAAGCCAGCAACCAUAGGGCUUUGAUUCCCCUCAAUGGAAGUUACAUUAUGGUGAAGAUAUUGAAGUAAAUGGAGCUAGAGAAGGAUGGAUUUGAGGCUAACAAACUCGGGAAAGCUGGGGUGGGGUUGUUUACAGUUAGGGUAGACGUUAUGGUUAAAUGAUUUGAUGAAGAAGGUUAAUGUGCAUAAGGUUGAAUGACCAAGGCUCAUUUAUGAUAUGUUUAAAGCAUGGCAUCAAGAGGAAUUUUAUGGAAUAUACCAAGCAUAUGAAGCAAUCAUUGAAGACUUGACUUGGAGGCACGCAAAAUGGGAGAUUCAUGAGGGUGUAGAAACAAGUAGGAUAGGAUAGUCAGUUGACUUUGGUCAAGUAUUUGACUAAAAAGUCAAUAGUUGACCAAAAGUCAAUUGUAGGUUAAAGAUGUAAUUUUUUGUAGGUUUGGUUUGGAUUCUUUUAUAAUGUAUUUGGAUGUUAUUAAAAUGAAAAUAGCCUCCUGAAA